rnacentral:rRNA from 1 species
ACUUUCACAACGGAUCUCUUGGCUCUCGCAUCGAUGAAGAACGCAGCGAAUGCGAUAAGUAAUGUGAAUUGCAGAAUUCAGUGAAUCAUCGAAUCUUUGAACGCACCUUGCGCUCUUUGGUAUUCCGAAGAGCAUGCCUGUUUGAGUGUCAU